rnacentral:misc_RNA from 1 species
UGGUUCCGGCAUCGAUGAAGAACGCAGCAAAAUGCGAUACGUAGUGUGAAUUGCAGAAUUCAGUGAAUCAUCGAGUCUUUGAACGCACAUUGCGCCUUUUAGUUAUUCUGAAAGGCAUGCCUGUUCGAGCGUCAUUUCUCUCUCAAACCGACCCUUGGUGGGGUUUGGCCUUGGACCGGCCGGCGGACGUCCUCCGCCGGGGUCCCGAAAUGCAAUUGAGGCGACUGAGCACAGUCCGAAGGCACGCGCAUAGUGCCUGGGGCUCGUGGUUCGGUCCCCGCCCAAUGCGAAAACACCCCCCCUUGAAUUGACCCCGGAUCAGGUGAGAAUACCCGCUGA